rnacentral:lncRNA from 1 species
CCUCUUCCUUCCUUCUUCUCUUCCAUGAGAGGAUGAGAAUGAUGCUUUGACACCUUUAUAAAAUUUUUUUUUCUAUUAUUGCUCUACCAAACCAUCUCCCUCUUCACCUUCUUUCUCUUCUCCCUCAAGAGCUACAAUUUUGUUGGCAUCAAAAUCCCUUCUUUCUCUAUCCUCCUUUGAUUUCGAACUUUAUCACUGCAACUUCAUUGGAAGCCAUCAUCUUUGAUCGAGCUUUGCCAUCUCCACCAUCCUCUGGUAAAUUCUUCCUCAUCUUUCUAUUAUUCUUUUUACUAAGAAGAUUGCUGUCAAGAUCACUAAAUAUGCUAUUUUAUUAUUAUUAUUAUUAUUUCUAUCUUCCUCUGUACAUGCGAUCAGAGCACCACUACUCAAAGAGGCUAUAACUCUAUCACUAUCAGGCCGUAUUGCCCUAAUUGUUUCUCCUUUUUUUUUUUCCUCUCUUUUUCUCUCUUCCUUAUAGAUGCCUCACAUGUCUCUUUCUUUCUCAUUAUUUCUCUCACAGAAUUUUCUUGUACUCGGAUGAUUGGUAUAGAACCAACCACCUUCUUAUCUUUCUCUCUAACCUAAUUUAAUAAUCUUAGAUCAAGAUGAGCGCAGACCAUUAAAUCAGGGAUGCGCAUCGGGUUCUAAAAAUUUAUCCCAAGAUUGAGGUGUUUACAACUCUUUUUAUGAUUUUUAGAUUAGGAAUAGAUGAGAUUAGGAUAAUUGGCUUAGAUUUGGGAUGCGCACAGGACUCUUGGCCACUAGUCAAAUAGAUCUAAAGUCCUAUCCUUGAUGUAUAUCUUUCUCUUAUAUGUUUAAUUUUGAGUGAGCUCCAUGAUUCUAAGGACCCUUUAGAUGCUCAAGUUUUAAAUAGUAACAUAUGUGUCUUAGAUGUAAACCUAAUCUUUGAUUGUAAUUAUCUAGAUCGUGUAUAAUAUACUUUGGUGAUAAUUCUGUCUUGCAAGCUAAGGUAAGUUCCUCUAUCUAAUAUUCGAUUACAUAUAUAUGAAUUAAUUCUCUUUACAUAACUUGGUAGAAAAAUAUUAGCUUAACUUAAUAUUAAAUAAUAUCUAUAUAGAUUUUGAAUUAUGUUAUGUAUGCUCCAUAUAAGUAGAUUUUGAGUAAUUGGAUCUUAAAGUAAAACUUUGUGAGCAUGAACUAUCCUCUUUUACUAUUUUAAAAUAUUGUUAAAUUUAUUGAUUAUGAUGUAAUCUCUCUAAUUUGACUAUGAUCACACGGUUUCGGAUAUGAUCUUUUUUUGGAUCUCUAGUGAGGCGAUCACUGGCACAUGUUGAUGGACAAUAUAUUGUAGUUAGGAGCUAAUUUUCUUUUAAAUCACGCCAAUGGGGUGAUUAUUGGUACAUACUAUUAUAGACAUGUUUUUCAUGUGAUUUUAAAGCUAGUUCCUUUUUGGUCUGUAGUGGGACGAUCACUGGUGCAUGCAAAUGAGCGACAUAUUGUAGUCAGGAUCUAAAUUCUUUUAGGACUUACCACUGGCCAAUUGUGGCCAUAGUCAAAAAAACUAGGAGAGGAAGAGAGUUGAAUAAUUGAGUACAAUGAUUGAAAAUUAUAUUUUUUUCUUCUAUUGUUCAAAUAUGUUGAUAAUUUUGAAUACAUAUAUACUUUGUAUUGCUCAAUAUGUCUUAAAUUAUAAAUUAAAAAUUUUAAAGUAUGAUACUAUGAUUUAUGUGUAAAAUGCUUAACCGAAUAGUGUAUAGAGGUGACUUAUUAGGCUUUUAGCUCACUCCUAUUUUUGUUAUUUUUUUCAAAUAUCAACAUCUAGUGCGAAUAGGAUUGUAGAGUAUGAGCAGAAGGAUUAGGAUAUUGAAAUGUUUUCUUAUCUAAAAAUAAAUGUUAUGAAAUUAAACUGAUUCAGAUUUGAAAAUAAUAUUAGGCUUGUUUAUCUGAUCAAAAGUUCUAAAUAUUUUAGUUUACUUGCACUGGUACUACAUAAAUUUUUAGAUCUUGCAUGUUUUAUAAGUAAAAUCCUGUAAUAUAUAUGUGGUCGUUUGUCACAUGCUCGCUUGUGCUAGUAAGACGGGAUGUGAUACCAAAAGAUUUGAAUUGAGGCCAUAGUGAUGAAGGCUCUCUAACGAAACAAACAAGACAUAUAGAUGAUGCGCAUAGCAAAGGACCACCUUGGUGUAGAAAAAGCAGGACAUGCAGAUGAUGCUUAUAUCAUCGAAGUCUUCCUUGAUGCAGAGAAAAUGGAACAUCCAGAUGAUGUUUGCUACCGAGGUUCACCUUGAAGUCUUGAUCGUUCGAUGACGAAUAUAUCCGAAGAGAAGUUUCGAGUAUAAAGACUGAGGUGGUAUAACUCCA